rnacentral:rRNA from 1 species
GACGAACGCUGGCGGCGUGCUUAACACAUGCAAGUCGAACGGAAAGGCCCUGCUUGCAGGGUACUCGAGUGGCGAACGGGUGAGUAACACGUGGGUGAUCUGCCCUGCACUUCGGGAUAAGCCUGGGAAACUGGGUCUAAUACCGGAUAGGAGCCAUUUUUAGUGUGAUGGUUGGAAAGAUUUUUCGGUGUUGGAUGAGCUCGCGGCCUAUCAGCGUGUUGGGGGGGUAAUGGCCUACCAAGGCGACGACGGGUAGCCGGCCUGUGGGUGUGGACGGCCACCCUGGCACCGAGAUACGGCCCCGAUGCCUACGGGAGGCCGCAGUGGGGAAUACUGCACAAGGGGCGCCAGCCUGAUGCAGCGACGCCGCGUGGGGGAUGACGGCCUUCGGGUUGUAAACUCCUUUCGCUAUGGACGAAGCUUUUUGUGACGGUACCUAGAUAAGAAGCACCGGCUAACUACGUG